rfam:Mesocricetus auratus contig160321, whole genome shotgun sequence.
CGGUCUAUGAUGACAAACGAACGUCAUGAAGAGAGGUGAUGACUUAAAUAUCAUGCUGAGGUUGUGGUUGCUGAGACUC